UACGUAGGUGGCAAGCGUUGUCCGGAUUUACUGGGCGUAAAGAGCGCGCAGGCGGUCGGAUAAGUCGAAUGUGAAAGCCCCCGGCUCAACUGGGGAGGGUCAUUCGAUACUGUUCGACUCGAAGGCAGGAGAGGGAAGUGGAAUUCCCGGUGUAGUGGUAAAAUGCGUAGAUAUCGGGAGGAACACCAGUGGCGAAGGCGACUUCCUGGCCUGUUCUUGACGCUGAGGCGCGAAAGCUAGGGGAGCAAACGGG
rnacentral:rRNA from 1 species